rnacentral:rRNA from 1 species
GACGAACCGUGCGAACGUUAUUCGGAAUCACUGGGCUUAAAGGGCGCGUAGGCGGCUUGCCAAGUCAGGGGUGAAAUCCUGCAGCUUAACUGUAGAAGGGCCUUUGAUACUGGCGAGCUCGAGGGAGGUAGGGGUAUGUGGAACUUCCGGUGGAGCGGUGAAAUGCGUUGAUAUCGGAAGGAACGCCGGUGGCGAAAGCGACGUACUGGACCUCUUCUGACGCUGAGGCGCGAAAGCUAGGGGAGCAAACGGG